UCCUCUUACAAGUAAUAUUUUUGGUUCUCUGUCCUUUGACACAUAAGAAUCAGAGGCAAAGAAACGUGGAUUUGAAAGAGCUGGGGCCAGCUUCCUCCCUGCAGGGUCAGGAUUUGCCAUCCUUCAAGA